GACGAACCGAGCGAACGUUGUUCGGAAUCACUGGGCUUAAAGGGCGCGUAGGCGGGCAUUCAAGUCUGUGGUGAAAUCCGGCAGCUUAACUGUCGAAUUGCCAUGGAUACUGGGUGUCUCGAGGGAGGCAGGGGUGCGCGGAACUAAUGGUGGAGCGGUGAAAUGCGUAGAUAUCAGGAGGAACAUCAAUGGCGAAGGCAGACUUCUGGGCCUUCACUGACACUGAGACCCGAAAGCUAGGGGAGCAAACAGG
rnacentral:rRNA from 1 species